CCUACGGGAGGCUGCAGUGGGGGAUAUUGCACAAUGGGGGAAACCCUGAUGCAGCGACGCCGCGUGGGUGAAGAAGUAUUUCGGUAUGUAAAGCCCUAUCAGCAGGGAAGAAAGAAGACGGUACCUGACUAAGAAGCCCCGGCUAACUACGUGCCAGCAGCCGCGGUAAUACGUAGGGGGCGAGCGUUAUCCGGAUGCACUGGGUGUAAAGGGAGCGUAGACGGCCGUGCAAGCCAGGAGUGAAAGCCCGGGGCCCAACCCCGGGACUGCUCUUGGAACUGUGCGGCUGGAGUGCGGGAGGGGCAGGCGGAAUUCCUGGUGUAGCGGUGAAAUGCGUAGAUAUCAGGAGGAACACCGGCGGCGAAGGCGGCCUGCUGGACCGCGACUGACGUUGAGGCUCGAAAGCGUGGGGAGCGAACAGGAUUAGAUACCCUAGUAGUC
rnacentral:rRNA from 1 species